rnacentral:rRNA from 1 species
AGUGAACGCUGGCGGUAGGCCUAACACAUGCCAGUCGAACGGCAGCACAGUAAGAGCUUGCUCUUACGGGUGGCGAGUGGCGGACGGGUGAGGAAUACAUCGGAAUCUACUUUUUCGUGGGGGAUAACGUAGGGAAACUUACGCUAAUACCGCAUACGACCUACGGGUGAAAGCAGGGGAUCUUCGGACCUUGCGCGAUUGAAUGAGCCGAUGUCGGAUUAGCUGGUUGGCGGGGUAAAGGCCCACCAAGGCGACGAUCCGUAGCUGGUCUGAGAGGAUGAUCAGCCACACUGGAACUGAGACACGGUCCAGACUCCUACGGGAGGCAGCAGUGGGGAAUAUUGGACAAUGGGCGCAAGCCUGAUCCAGCCAUACCGCGUGGGUGAAGAAGGCCUUCGGGUUGUAAAGCCCUUUUGUUGGGAAAGAAAAGCAGCAGGUUAAUACCCCGCUGUUCUGACGGUACCCAAAGAAUAAGCACCGGCUAACUUCGUGC